CUGAGUUAAAAAAGGUAAAUAAUUCUUUUCGAAACAUAUUUUCAAUCUCGUCACUUUAAAAAUAAAAACCCUUCCAGACUUAAAAUAAUUUUUUUUAGAGUUAAAAAAGGGGUGUGACACAACUAAGGUUGCAAUUACAAACCACAAAGAAAGGAAACUCAUCCAUGGUAGAAUAUCUUUAAAAAAUGAAGACUUCUGCCGAUAAUGUUGCGGUUGCAGCACACCCGAUCACUAAUGAUGAUCUUGUCUUAUAUAUUCUUGGAGGACUUGGACAAGAAUAUGAUGCUAUGGUUGUUUGGUCACUACUAGGGCCGAGUUAAUUUUAUUAGCCGAUCUUCAUGGCUUGCUUUUAAUUCAAGAGUAUCGUUUGGAGAAAAUGACAAGUACAGAACAAUGAUUAAGACAAGCCAACUUGUCUACUAGACAAUCCAAUAAUACUAAGAAUGAUAACUCCUUUAAGAAGCCUACUAAUGUCAAUAACAAUUAGGCUUAUGGUGGCAGAUCUGGACGAGGACGAGGACGAGGACGAGGACGAGGACGAGGACGAGGACGAGGACGAGGUCGAGGUCGAGGUCGCAAUGCCAACUCAUCCAACCAAAAUCAAUUUCAAGUUUUCCAUAAAUUUGGUCACUCCGCCUUGGUUUGCUACCAUCAUUUUGACCAUGCCUAUAAGCUUCUUCCAAAUCGCACAUGGAUGCUCUCAUUGCACAAAUUUCUAUGGUUGGAGACUCAAAUUGGUAUCCAAAUUCUAGGGCUACUCAUCAUUUAACUAACGAUAUGCAGAAUAUGGUGGUACGAGGAGAGUAUAUGGGAAACGAUCAAAUUCAUAUUGGUAAUGGCACAGGAUCCAGCAACGGGGAAAGUACUACUACACGGGACUCUUGAGUAUGGCCUUUAUCAUCUCCUUGCAACCCAGUUACUCGGCCAGCCUUCUUUCUCAAAUAAAUCACAGGCUUUCCAUGUCUCCAAGUCAUUUUUUGAUCUAUGGCAUAGUCAUUUAGGUCACUCGUCUCUACGAGCAGUCAAUAGUAUUAUUAGGAGUCUUUCUUUACCGGUCAAAUCGAGUCCUCAGUCUAGUAUUUGUUCUUCUUGCCACUAUGGCAAGAGUCAAAAUUGCCAUUUUCUAAUUCUAGUUCUAGUGCUAGUUUUCCCCUUGAUUUGAUCCACAGUGAUGUAUGUCAUCCUGCUCCACAAUUGGCUAGUAAUAAAUACCGUUAUUAUGUUUCUUUUA